rnacentral:rRNA from 1 species
UACGUAGGGGGCAAGCGUUGUCCGGAAUUAUUGGGCGUAAAGGCGCGUAGGCGGCCAUUCAAGUGACGGGUGAAAGCCCUCGGCUUAACCGAGGAACUGCCUGUCAGACUGGAUGGCUUGAGACCGGGAGAGGUGAGUGGAAUUCCCAGUGUAGCGGUGAAAUGCGUAGAUAUUGGGAGGAACACCAGUGGCGAAGGCGGCUCACUGGACCGGAACUGACGCUGAGGCGCGAAAGCGUGGGGAGCAAACAGG